rnacentral:rRNA from 1 species
CACCGCGGUUAUACGAAGGACCCAAGUUGUUAGAUGCCGGCGUAAAGAGUGGUUAAGAUUUACCCCAAAACUAAAGCCGAACGCCCUCAGAGCUGUUAUACGCUUCCGAAGGUAAGAAGCCCAACCACGAAGGUGGCUUUACAUUGUCCGACUCCACGAAAGCUACGAUA